UACGUAGGGUCCGAGCGUUGUCCGGAAUUACUGGGCGUAAAGAGCUUGUAGGCGGUUCGUCGCGUCGAUUGUGAAAACUCAGGGCUUAACUCUGAGCCUGCGGUCGAUACGGGCAGACUUGAGUUCGGUAGGGGAGACUGGAAUUCCUGGUGUAGCGGUGAAAUGCGCAGAUAUCAGGAGGAACACCGGUGGCGAAGGCGGGUCUCCGGGCCGAUACUGACGCUGAGGAGCGAAAGCGUGGGGAGCGAACAGG
rnacentral:rRNA from 1 species